CAAAAGAAGAAGCAGAGCAGCCAAAUGGCCGCCGCUGACAAGGAAGAAAAACGAUGGAACAGGCAACAAGGCGAAAUAAUGAAACACACAACACACACACACACUCUCACGCACAUACACAAUCGGAAAAAUCAAAUGUUUAACCGAAAAAAAAACGCAAAUGAAUUAUUCAGUCGCCUCCUUAAUUGAUUUUUACCAUUUCGGGCAAAACGCUAUGUAAUUUUGCAAACUAUUUUUAUGCACAAAAUAUAUGUGAGAAGCGGUCUGGAAAUACACACACACAGAAGCAGGCGGCCGCCGAAAAGGAAACCCGAUGAUGACAAUGUAAAACGAGGCAGAAGGAACAGGCACACGGGCAAAAAUUAAUACGAAAAACGGUCUCGUCGGGGAAAAAACUUUUUGUUGUUUGGAGGAGCACUUACACAUGCACUAAAAAAAGCAUUCGCGAUGCGCUUGGAUUUCCCCUUAACGGAUGAUGAAGAGUCGGCUAGAUUCUUCAACGUCGCCGCCGCCGUCGCAGAACGAUAAUAAAAGCGAAAAUGCAAAGACACGGCCAAUACAAA